rfam:Hepacivirus hominis isolate GT8-3 polyprotein gene, complete cds
CAGGCUCAUAGCCCAGGGUGGUAGGGCGGCCAUAUGUGGCCACUACCUCUUUAACUGGGCUGUGAAAACA